GCCUUCUUGGUGUAGUGGUUAGCACGCUGGGGGUGCUAACCAGAGGUCCGUGUUUCGAGUCCUGGUGAAGGCG
rnacentral:tRNA from 1 species